AGUGAACGCUGGCGGUAGGCCUAACACAUGCAAGUCGAACGGCAGCACAGUAAGAGCUUGCUCUUACGGGUGGCGAGUGGCGGACGGGUGAGGCAUACAUCGGAAUCUACUUUUUCGUGGGGGAUAACGUAGGGAAACUUACGCUAAUACCGCAUACGACCUACGGGUGAAAGCAGGAGAUCUUCGGACCUUGCGCGAUUGAAUGAGCCGAUGUCGGAUUAGCUAGUUGGCGGGGUAAAGGCCCACCAAGGCGACGAUCCGUAGCUGGUCUGAGAGGAUGAUCAGCCACACUGGAACUGAGACACGGUCCAGACUCCUACGGGAGGCAGCAGUGGGGAAUAUUGGACAAUGGGCGCAAGCCUGAUCCAGCCAUACCGCGUGGGUGAAGAAGGUCUUCGGGUCGUAAAGCCCUUUUGUUGGGAAAGAAAAGCAGCAGGUUAAUCCCCCGCUGUUCUGACGGUACCCAAAGAGUAAGCACCGGCUAACUUCGUG
rnacentral:rRNA from 1 species